GGGGAAUUUUGGACAAUGGGGGCAACCCUGAUCCAGCCAUGCCGCGUGCGGGAAGAAGGCCUUCGGGUUGUAAACCGCUUUUGUCAGGGAAGAAAUCCUUCGGGUUAAUACCUCGAGGGGAUGACGGUACCUGAAGAAUAAGCACCGGCUAACUACGUGCCAGCAGCCGCGGUAAUACGUAGGGUGCAAGCGUUAAUCGGAAUUACUGGGCGUAAAGCGUGCGCAGGCGGUUGUGCAAGACAGGUGUGAAAUCCCCGGGCUUAACCUGGGAACUGCACUUGUGACUGCACGGCUGGAGUACGGUAGAGGGGGAUGGAAUUCCGCGUGUAGCAGUGAAAUGCGUAGAUAUGCGGAGGAACACCGAUGGCGAAGGCAGUCCCCUGGACCUGUACUGACGCUCAUGCACGAAAGCGUGGGGAGCAAAC
rnacentral:rRNA from 1 species